CGCGUAGGUGGUUGUGUCAGUCGGAUGUGAAAUCCCCAGGCUUAACCUGGGAACUGCAUCCGAUACUGCAUGACUCGAGUGCAGCAGAGGGAAACGGAAUUCCUGGUGUAGAGGUGAAAUUCGUAGAUAUCAGGAGGAACACCGGUGGCGAAGGCGGUUUCCUGGGCUGACACUGACACUGAGGCGCGAAAGCGUGGGUAGCAAACAGGAUUAGAUACCCUGGUAGUCCACGCUGUAAACGGUGAGUGCUGGGUGUGGGAGGUGUAAUGCCUUCUGUGCCGAAGCUAACGCGUUAAGCACUCCGCCUGGGGAGUACGGCCGCAAGGUUGAA
rnacentral:rRNA from 1 species